CACCAGGUUGAUUCUGCCUGACGUAGACGCUAUUCCUAAGAUUAACCCAUGCAUGUUUUUGACAUUUGAAAAAUGGACUGCUCAGUAAUACUCACUUUAUUUUAUGUAAAUUUUUAAUUAACUACGUUAAAGUGUAGAUAAGAUGUUUACAGUAAGAGUGAGACCUAUCAGCUAGUUGUUAAGGUAAUGGCUUAACAAGGCUGUGACGGGUAACGGUAUUACUUUGUAAUAUUCCGGAGAAGGAGCCUGAGAGACGGCUACUAAGUCUAAGGAUUGCAGCAGGGGCGAAACUUGACCUAUGGAUUUUAUCUGAGGCAGUUAUGGGAAGUAAUAUUAUAUUGUUUCAUAUUUUAAAAGUAUAUGAGGUGAUUAAUUGGAGGGCAAAUCAAGUGCCAGCAGCCGCGGUAAUACUUGUUCCAAGAGUGUGUAUGAUGAUUGAUGCAGUUAAAAAGUCCGUAGUUUAUUUUUUUAAGAAGCAAUAUGAGGUGUACUGUAUAGUUGGGAGAAAGAUGAAAUGUGACGACCCUGACUGGACGAACAGAAGCGAAAGCU
rnacentral:rRNA from 1 species